AGUUUGAUUUGGAUCGAGAUGAACGCUAGCUACAGGCUUAACACAUGCAAGUCGAGGGGAAACGAUAUUGGAAGCUUGCUUCCGAUAGGCGUCGACCGGCGCACGGGUGAGUAACGCGUAUCCAACCUGCCCAUCACUUGGGGAUAACCUUGCGAAAGUAAGACUAAUACCCAAUGAUAUCUCUAGAAGACAUCUGAGGGAGAUUAAAGAUUUAUCGGUGAUGGAUGGGGAUGCGUCUGAUUAGCUUGUUGGCGGGGUAACGGCCCACCAAGGCGACGAUCAGUAGGGGUUCUGAGAGGAAGGUCCCCCACAUUGGAACUGAGACACGGUCCAAACUCCUACGGGAGGCAGCAGUGAGGAAUAUUGGUCAAUGGACGAGAGUCUGAACCAGCCAAGUAGCGUGCAGGAUGACGGCCCUAUGGGUUGUAAACUGCUUUUAUAAGGGAAUAAAGUGAGAGUCGUGACUCUUUUUGCAUGUACCUUAUGAAUAAGGACCGGCUAAUUCCGUGCCAGCAGCCGCGGUAAUACGGAAGGUCCGGGCGUUAUCCGGAUUUAUUGGGUUUAAAGGGAGCGUAGGCCGGAGAUUAAGCGUGUUGUGAAAUGUAGAUGCUCAACAUCUGCACUGCAGCGCGAACUGGUUUCCUUGAGUACGCACAAAGUGGGCGGAAUUCGUGGUGUAGCGGUGAAAUGCUUAGAUAUCACGAAGAACUCCGAUUGCGAAGGCAGCUCACUGGAGCGCAACUGACGCUGAAGCUCGAAAGUGCGGGUAUCGAACAGGAUUAGAUACCCUGGUAGUCCGCACGGUAAACGAUGGAUGCCCGCUGUUGGUCUGAAUAGGUCAGCGGCCAAGCGAAAGCAUUAAGCAUCCCACCUGGGGAGUACGCCGGCAACGGUGARACUCAAAUGAAUUGACGGAAUGGCUUUUAG
rnacentral:rRNA from 1 species